rnacentral:rRNA from 1 species
AUUGAACGCUGGCGGCAUGCCUAACACAUGCAAGUCGAACGAGGGUAGCAAUACCCUAGUGGCGGACGGGUGAGGAAUACGUAGGAAUUUGCCCUUAAGAGGGGGAUAGCCCGGGGAAACCCGGAUUAAUACCGCAUGAUCUCGAAAGAGCAAAGUGGGGGAUCGCAAGACCUCACGCUUUUGGAGAAGCCCACGUCGGA